rnacentral:rRNA from 1 species
CCUACGGGCGGCAGCAGUGGGGAAUAUUGGGCAAUGGAGGCAACUCUGACCCAGCAACGCCGCGUGAAUGAUGAAGGUCUUCGGAUUGUAAAGCUCUGUGAUGGGGGAUGAACACAAUGACGGUACCCCAAUAGCAAGCCACGGCUAACUACGUGCCAGCAGCCGCGGUAAUACGUAGGAGGCAAGCGUUAGCCGGAAUGACUGGGCGUAAAGGGUGCGUAGGUGGUUUAGUAAGUUGGCGGUGUAAUUCCGGGGCUCAACCUCGGCGCUACCGCCAAAACUAUUAGACUAGAGUGCAGGGGGGGUAAGUGGAAUUCCUAGUGUAGCGGUGGAAUGCGUAGAUAUUAGGAGGAACAUCAGGGGCGAAGGCGACUUACUGGACUGUAACUGACGCUGAGGCACGAAAGCGUGGGGAGCAAACAGGAUUAGAUACCCGGGUAGUC